AACAUUGUGGAAGCCAUGGAGCGU
rnacentral:piRNA from 1 species